rnacentral:misc_RNA from 1 species
GAUGAAGAACGCAGCGAAAUGCGAUACGUAAUGUGAAUUGCAGAAUUCAGUGAAUCAUCGAAUCUUUGAACGCACAUUGCGCCCGCCAGUAUUCUGGCGGGCAUGCCUGUCUGAGCAUCAUUUCAACCCUCAUGCCCCUAGGGCGUGGUGUUGGGGAUCGGCCAAAGCCCGCGAGGGACGGCCGGCCCCUAAAUCUAGUGGCGGACCCGUCGUGGCCUCCUCUGCGAAGUAGUGAUAUUCCGCAUCGGAGAGCGAUGAGCCCCUGCCGUUAAACCCCCAACUUUCCAAGGUUGACCUCAGAUCAGGUAGGAAUACCCGCUGAACUUAAGCAUAUCAAUAAGCGGAGGA